AGUAAGAAUGCCUGAUAAAAGGGUUACUCUGAUAGAGUAAAUAAUGUAAUAAUAUACUUUCAUUA
rnacentral:tRNA from 1 species